CCCCAAUACAGAUCUUGCGAAAGAUCUUUUGCUCAACAUGAAGGUUUUUCAGAGCCCGGCUCUAGUUAUAGCAUUGCUACAACAGGGCAGAGAAAAUAGCUCCAACCCAGAACUGUCUUCAGUUUUAAAGGAGAUUCAAAAACAGUAUGGCAGCGAAAACAGCAAAUUACUUCACACAAAACUCAACCAACUUGUAGGUCCACUAUUACAGGAGUACUGGAGACUGGAAGACAAGGUGCAAGCUUUGAUGAAGGAUGAUAAG